rnacentral:misc_RNA from 1 species
CUGAGGAACUCGCAUCGUUGUCGCUGGCCUUCGGGCAUGUGCACACGUUGCAUUCUCAUCCACACACCUGUGAACUUAUUAGAGAGGGAUGGCGUUCGCGUCGUCGCUCUUCUUUACACACAUCUUUGUUAAUUCAGAACGACGUAACAUUAAUAAAUGUAA